GAUGAACGCUGGCGGCGUGCUUAACACAUGCAAGUCGAACGAUGAAGCCCAGCUUGCUGGGUGGAUUAGUGGCGAACGGGUGAGUAACACGUGAGUAACCUGCCCUUAACUCUGGGAUAAGCCUGGGAAACUGGGUCUAAUACCGGAUAGGAGCGUCCACCGCAUGGUGGGUGUUGGAAAGAUUUAUCGGUUUUGGAUGGACUCGCGGCCUAUCAGCUUGUUGGUGAGGUAAUGGCUCACCAAGGCGACGACGGGUAGCCGGCCUGAGAGGGUGACCGGCCACACUGGGACUGAGACACGGCCCAGACUCCUACGGGAGGCAGCAGUGGGGAAUAUUGCACAAUGGGCGCAAGCCUGAUGCAGCGACGCCGCGUGAGGGAUGACGGCCUUCGGGUUGUAAACCUCUUUCAGUAGGGAAGAAGCGAAAGUGACGGUACCUGCAGAAGAAGCACCGGGUAACUACGUG
rnacentral:rRNA from 1 species